UACCUUGAGCCUGGCCUCACUAGGUAG
rnacentral:piRNA from 1 species